rnacentral:tRNA from 1 species
AAAAUGUAGCUUAACAAAAGCAUCUGGCUUACACCCAGAAGAUUUCAGAGCCCCUGACCAUUUUGA